AGGGGAGAGGUCAGGGGAGGAGAGAUAUAUCUGGGUGUCGUCAGCGUACAGGUGGUAAUGGAAUCCAAACGAAUUAAUGAGUUUGUCAAGAGAGGCAAAAAGAGACACUAAAGGAGUGUUGGGAGAGAUAGGAGGAGUACCAUGAGAGGGCUGUGUCACAGAGACCAAGAGAUUGUAGAGUUAGGAGAAGGAGGCCAUGAUUAACAGUAUCAAAGGCAGGAGAGAGGUCAAGAAUAAUUAGUAUGGAGUAGUGGCCUUUGGCUUUGGCUGUGAUUAGGUAAUUUGUAACUUUAAUAAGACCAGUCUCAGUAGAGUGGAGGGGGUGAAAGCCAGAUUGAAGAGGAUCGAGGAGGGAGUUGGAAUUUAGGAAUUGAGUCAUACGGGUAAAGACAAGCCUUUCUAGAAGCUUUGAGGAAAAAGGAAGCAGGGAUAUGGGACGACAGUUGGAAGUGGAAGACAGGUCUAGGGAUUUCUUUUUUUACGAUGGGUACGACAGUAGCGUGCUUAAGGGGAGCAGGGACAACACCAGAUCAAAGAGAGCAGUUUAGGAUGUGUGUUAAGGAUGGUACAAGACAAGGGGUGAGAGCUCUGAUGAGGUGGAUACUGGAUCAUUGUGGUGGGACGAAAAGAGAGGAGAAGCGCAGCUACCUCCUGUUCCGUAGCUGGAGGGAAGUCUUGGAGGGUAGGGGUGGUAUGAUCCAAGUGAGGCUGAGAUAGAGAGGUGAGAAGGUGGGAGAAUUAACUCCUUAACUGUUUAAUCUUGACUUUCUCCAGCAUCGUUCAGCUGAACGGGAGCAUCUCUGCACGUAACGGGUUUACUUAGUGUGCCACGGUUGGAUGCGCGCCCUCCUAGAGGGGCAUGCUUUGAGCAGGGCUGCAGAGGAUAGAGUAAUAUUAUAUGAGGAGAUGGCCAGAGAGGGACAGGAGAAAGUAGGGAUGGAUGAGAGUUUGGAAUGGAGAUCAGAUGAGAGUUGCUGGAAGUAAAGAGAAUUCAGGUUCCGCCUGAGUUGCGGGGGGUUAGGUUGAGGAUAUUGGGUGUGGGGGCACUAGAGAACAAAUUAUAGAGGAAAUUGAGUAUUACAGAGAUUGGAGUCUAAGCUUGCAUUUGAAAAAAUAAGAUCUAGGGUAUUGCCAGCAACAUUGUGAUAGCCCAAAGGAGGAAGUGAUUGAAAUACGUUUGGAGGCUACUGAGGACAAGGGUGGGUUAAUGGAAAUGUUGAAAUCCCCUAGAAUUAGGGAUAGGAUAUUGCUUGGGAGGAAGUAAGGAAGCCAAGCAGCAAAAUGGUCAAGGAAUAGAUGAGGAGAUGAGGAGAACCUGGGGGCCGAUAAAUAACUGCAAUGUUUACAGAUAUGGGUUUGAAUAAGCAAAUUGAGUGAAUU